ACAACGUCUGAUGAACUGACUGCAACCUCCACUCCCUGUCCCCCUGAGCUGGAGGGGGAGGAGGUAGAGAAUUUGGGAGUAAAGUUGAGCCCAGGAAAAAGGGAGGGAUGAAUCAGUUAGUGAAGAAUUCAUGACUCAUUCCUACAAAAAAAUUUCUUGAACUUCCCCACCUAUGUGGCCUGAAGAUCAUACCCCUACUGACUUAUCUUCUAGCAAGCUUUCUCAUUUCAUCAGCAAGAAGUUCUUAAUUUUCUUUUUGAUAUUGCAUCCAUGAGGAUAUGGUUGUUGAGUUAUCACUGAAAUGGAAGGCAUGAUCAAACUCAAGAUUUCUAGCAUUACAAUCUGACUACAAGCACAGCUGAUAGUUCUGCUGACUAUUUUGUGAGUUCAGUACUAUAGCAGCACUGGAUGCAAGCUUCAGCAAAUCUAUUUAAAAGGUAUUAUCUUGCAAGAUUUGAAAGAUACUGACAGAAGACAGAUGAUGGAAUGACUUUCUUCUUUUGCCUGAGCAAAAAAAAAUUGCAUUGCUGCUCUGCUGUGCAAAUAAAUCACUAUCUCAAGUCCUGAGUGGUGUAAAAGCACAGAAGUGGCUUGAAACAACUCAUCAGUGACAUCCAAAUAGUCCUGUUUGUAAA